UUGAGGUAAACAAUAUACUCUUUUUGGAGCUUCCCAUCCUCACAGUUAUCCUACAUGACCGCCAGAUCAGUACUCAGGUGGGUGACCACUGGGGAAUCCCUGGUGUUGUAUGUUUUUG
rnacentral:rRNA from 1 species